AUAGACUCAAAGCCCAUUUUAGUUUUAUGAGCGUUGUGCUUUAUACUUGCUACAGUCUUUAAAUGCUUUGAAGCAGUGUCUAGACCAGCAGGGCCCAAUAAAAAUGCAACGCAUGCCGCAUAUGUAAUUUCAAAUUUUCUGGUAGCCACAUUAAGAAUGUAAAAAGAGGAGGGACGCCUGGGUGGCUCAGUCGGUUAAGCGUCCAACUUCGGAUCCGGUCAUGAUCUGGUGGCUCACGAGUUCAAGCGCUGCCUCAGGCUCUGUGCUGACAGCUCGGAGCCUGGAGCC